AGGUGGCGGCUCUCCCACGGACGAUGCUCAGAGCACAAGUCCUUACUCGCCUCGUUCCCCGCCAACUGAGCCUUUUGAAAUCCCAACCAAUCCCCGUCCAUUCACCGGAGGAGGUUCACUGCGAAUCGCUCUUGUCCAUCUUGAGAAGAUGUACUUCCGCGAGGACGGUUCAGCAAAUCCACUCGCAGAUGGUCACAAGCUCCAUCGACAAGCCCAAUUUCCUCCUCGCGAAGCUCGUCGACCUCAAGGACAUGUCGUACGCUUCUCUCGUCUUCUCUCGAAUUCCUCAACCCAAUGACUACGCCUUCAAUGUCAUGAUCCGGGGCUUAACCACCACGCGGCACGACUACUCCUCGACGCUGCACUUCUAUUACCGAAUGAAAUCUGUGGGGCUGAAACCCAACAAUUUCACGUACCCAUUUCUGUUCAUAGCAUGUGCGAAUCUUUUCGAGUUAGACCAUGGUCGGGCGGCUCAUUCUUCGGUGUUUAAGACUGGGUUGGAUUCGGACAGUCAUACUAGUCACUCGUUGAUCAUGAUGUAUGCCAAGUGCAGGGAGCUGGAAAAUGCACGCAAGGUGUUUGACGAAAUUGCCGACAGAGAUUUGGUCUCGUGGAACUCGAUGAUCUCUGGGUAUGCAAAAAUGGGUUUUGCAGCAAAUGCAGUCGAGCUGUUCGGGAAAAUGGGGGAGGAAGGCUUCAUGCCUGAUGAAAUGACUGUGGUAAGCACUCUCACGGCGUGUAGAGACUUGGGGGAUCUGAGAUUGGGCAAGUGGAUAGAGGGAUAUGUUCUGGAUAAUGGGAUGAAGUUGAACUCAUAUGUGGGAUCUGCCUUGAUCGAUAUGUAUGGGAAAUGUGGGGAUUUGACAUCAGCUAGGAGGAUUUUUGAUAAAAUGGUAAAGAGGGAUGUAGUGACUUGGAAUGCUAUGAUCACAGGUUAUGCCCAAAAUGGGAUGGCUGAUGAAGCGAUCACACUAUUUAGUACGAUGAGAGAGGCUGGGAUUGAUCCGGACAAAAUUACAUUGCUUGGCGUGUUGUCUUCUUGUGCCUCGAUAGGGGCCCUAGACCUGGGGAAGUGGGUGGACACCUAUGUGUCUCAUAGUGGCUUAAGGCGUGAUGUUUAUGUUGGUACUGCUUUAAUUGAUAUGUAUGCUAAGUGUGGAAGUUUAGACAAUGCUCUUGAAGUUUUUGAAGACAUGUCUCAGAAAAAUGAGGUAUCUUGGAAUGCUAUGAUUUCUGCCCUGGCUUUUCAUGGUCGAGCAAAGGAGUCAUUAGCACUAUUUGAUCGCAUGUUGAAAGUGGGUGGGGAUGUCUGCCCAAAUGACAUCACAUUUGUCGGAGUACUCUCUGCAUGUGUGCAUGGUGGUCUGGUUACUGAGGGGCGUAGAUUAUUUGCUCUGAUGUGCACAUUAUUUGGAUUGGUCCCAAAAAUUGAGCAUUAUUCUUGUAUGGUUGACCUAUUUUCUCGUGCUGGACUUUUAUAUGAGGCGUGGAGCUUCAUUGAGAAGAUGCCUGGGAAGCCAGAUGAAGUUGUUCUGGGGUCAUUACUUGGUGCCUGUCAGAAGCGGCGAAAUGCUGAUAUUGGUGAGCGGGUGAUGCGGCUGCUUCUGAAAAUAGAACCUUCGAAUUCUGGGAACUAUGUUAUAUCAUCAAAACUCUAUGCAGAUGUGAAGAAGUGGGAUGAAUCAGCAAGGAUGAGAAUAUUGAUGAGGCAAAGGGGUAUAACUAAGACACCUGGUUGCAGUUGGUUGGGGAUUGAGACUCAGCUGCAUGAAUUUCAUGCUGGUGAUAAUUUGCAUCAUAGCACAGUGGAGAUGUAUCAAGUAUUGGUGGAGGAGAUGGAUAGGGAAGGUUACAUCCCGAAAGCUGACAAUUCCGAAGAAACUGAGGAUCAGUAUAUUGGGGAAUGUUGUGCUGAAAAUCUGCUAGAGGAUAAUGUCCUACUAUUACUAAACAGCUUUAUAGUAGAUAAUGCAUUACUUGGUAAUGCAAUAGUAUUAAACACUUCCAUAGUUGAUUAUGGGCACCUACUUUAUGCAUGUAAUACCUCCUCCUAUGUAUCUUGUCCUACCAUUUAAAAGUGCAUAAUCUGUGCUCCCGGCGGUUAACGUUGUCCCUUGGAAUAUGUCAUCUUGAACUUCCAUGGUGGUGAUUGGUGAGAAAUUUCUUUGGACAUGCACAAAUAGAACCAAAAAGUUAGCUCAAGAAAAUAACAGUAGCUGCAACCCAGAAAAUCUUUAUCAAAUAGCUCUAACCAAGCGACUAAUACUCAUGGUUAGUCCAACUAGAAUAGUUUCUGUAAAUAGUAUCAGAAUAUUUGGUGCAGAGAAGAUGUUUAACCUGUUAAUAUCAUUACAGUUUUAGUAAUCUAUGUUUGAGCUUUUUUCUAACUAGCAAUAUUAUAUUUGGGUUUAUUUAUAUUCACGAAAUUAAGUUGGAUUUGCAGCAUCACUAGUUGUGAUUAUUGCAUGCUUGAUGAUAAAUGAUAGCAGACAUGGUUUUCUGCACAGCAAAAGAAAGAAGAAACAUGCAUAUGAUGGACCAAAUGAUGCUCUAUCAGAGGGAAGAUGGUACAGGCAAAAGUUAUUUCUCUCGAGGAUAUAAACAAAAGCAAAAAUUCACGGGCAAAAAUAGGACUGGUAUCAGUAAAAAUUGAGGCAAGGGAAACUAUUGUCAAGAAAUUAGAGUUUAUGGAUUGAGUUGCAGACUGAAUACAAACAGGGCACUAGGAAGAAAAUAGUAAUCCCUUUCAGAGGAUGUGAUGUUAGAUGUACUGCAAUUACUAAAGGCACAUUUCAUCUGGUUUGUUUGCACGACAUAUUGCUUAUAGCAGUUGGGACUUGUUUGUGUGCUUAUCUCAUGGCAUGCACAAAUGAACCUACUUAGCUACUAGCUCGGCUGUGACUUUAAUCAAGUUUUGUAUGAUCUCUGCUGCUGCAGUGUUUUUCUGUGACUAAAUAGGAUUUCUCCUAUUUAGUGACCUGCAUUUUAUCAUAACCAUAUCUCUUUCACCUUUAUUAGCAUCCAAAAAUAUGCAAACAAAAUGUUAUGUUGAUCCUUACUAUUGUGACCAUGUAUUAAUAUUUUCUGCAAGUUUCUUUCUCAAUCCUCUAUUUGAAUCACUACUAAAAUAUGUAUUGAGAUUUACAGUUUUAAUAGCAACUUCGUACGGGAGAGUGAUUAAGCGGUUCACUGGAAAUGAUUACAGCGUGUGGAUGGAUUCUCUGGACUGACUUGCAAUGCCUAGUGCAGGAGCUUAGAAUGACCCCUGGAUGACUGAGUUAUUGUGCAUUUGUUCCUGCAAGCUCUUGAAGCACUUGGCACAGAGGAAUUAAUGGUAACUCCAAGUUGGUUUUUAUCUAUUUAUUAUGUAUUUUGAUGAUGUGUUGAAGAACUGCUUCUGUGUGGCUCAUAGCAUAGCUGCUGGUCGGCGGUCGCUAAUCUGAAGAGUGAGAGCCAGAGCCCUGGAAAUCAGGGAGGGUAUUGAGUGAACUGUACAUUUUUGUUUCUGCAUUUGAAAUAUGCAUCUAGAGCCCAAGAAUUGUAGGGGCCUUUCAGAAUCCCAGGUGUGGCUAGUCUACCCUUAAUCUUGUACUUCAAUUUGCAGCAAGUGCCUUACAUAAACUCGAAGGACUUACUAAUGAUUGAGUUGUUUAGCAGAUGGAAGUCCACAUGUUAUGGAGGCCUGUUGUGGAGGUAAUUGAAAUGUCCAGGCAACAGAAUAAUAGACUUGAAGAUGGUUUGCUAAGAAUCACAAGUUUAUUUUGGUGAAAGUUGAGUAUAUGUUAAUCUAAAGCUUGUGAGGACUUGUUGCUCCACUGGUUUAUGCAUGUGGUUGCUAAUAACUAAUGUUACUCUCCCGUUAAUCAGGCCAUCUUGUUCCAUGACUGUAAUUGCUUAAAGAUUCAGAAUCCAUACGCAAUUCAGAAGUAUGGCAAUCACUUUAUACUAGAUGAAAAGUGACGGUGAGUUGUAGGGUGGAAUGAAGAAGAUUUCCAAGAGGCACCUAAUGGAUACACGUGAAUAAGAAGUACCUAACAUCCUUUCACCCUCUCCCACAGUAAAAAAGAGAAGUAGGGAUUCAAGAGACACGGAGGAGCCACUCUUAUGGAGGGUAUGGUUGCUCAACUGCUGCUGCACCUUGGACAGAGCAACAUGCGGUUUGAUGCUGUUUGACAACAUGUGAUGAUUAGAAGCUUUAUUCUGCCUGUACUGUGGAAUUCAACUGACAAAUAUAUAAAUCUUCAUUCGUGACAACUUUCAGAAUCCUGCCUGUACUGUGAAAUAGAGCUGGAAAACAAAACAAAUUUUCACCCAUGACACUUUCGGAAUACCCAAAUUUUCCUUCAGUAGGCUUUGUCUAGAUUGGGAACCAUUAGACCAUGUUAGAUGUCCACCUUUCAAUCACAUGAGAUCUGAGAUAUGGUCAUUUACUUAGCGCUGCAAUAGUGGCUUGCAUCCUCCACUUUCCCAGAGUUUCCAUAAAGUCGGAUUGUCAGGAAUAUUUGCUUGAGCAAUGGAAUUUUAGUUUAACUUUU